CCUACGGGAGGCUGCAGUGGGGGAUAUUGCACAAUGGGGGGAACCCUGAUGCAGCGACGCCGCGUGGGUGAAGGAGUAUUUCGGUAUGUAAAGCCCUAUCGGCAGGGAAGAAUUUAGACGGUACCUGACUAAGAAGCCCCGGCUAACUACGUGCCAGCAGCCGCGGUAAUACGUAGGGGGCAAGCGUUAUCCGAAUUCACUGGGUGUAAGGGGAGCGUAGACGGCCAGGCAAGCCUGGAGUGAAAGCCCGGGGCCCAACCCCGGGACUGCUCUGGGAACUGUACGGCUGGAGUGCGGGAGGGGCAGGCGGAAUUCCUGGUGUAGCGGUGAAAGGCGUAGAUAUCAGGAGGAACACCGGCGGCGAAGGCGGCCUGCUGGACCGCGACUGACGUUGAGGCUCGAAGGCGUGGGGAGCGAACAGGAUUAGAUACCCCAGUAGUC
rnacentral:rRNA from 1 species